GGCGGUUGGGCGAGUUCACAAAAGAACCAAAUGUUGAUCUCUUGACUGGACUUCUACAGCUCCUUGGACUAGCAUGUGUGAAGAAUGAUGGAGUCCUCUGAGGUGCCAUGGGGAGGGGCAGUUAACCCACCAUGAGCGGCAACAGGAAUCCGCAGAAAUGACACGUGCAGGUUCCAUUUUGACACCAGGAUCUUCUUGCGAGGCCUGGAUUCUCUUGCACAGGGCCCCUUGUCCUCUUACUCUUCAUGAUGGAUUCACUCUGAACCUGGAUCAGCUAGACUGGCUGGCCUGCAAUACGGAUUUACUUGCUCCCACUUCCUCAGAGCCGGAAUUAUGUAUGACUAAAGACUACAGAGAUAUUUAAGACUCUCCAUGCCUUCAUACUACAUUUUAAGAACAAAUAACCAACUUGCUCAUCUAAGUUGUUUUUAAAAAUCAACUUAGUAAAGAAGAGUCGAGUUACACAAGCCAUUUAUUGUAUAAUAAAAGUCAUAUGACCAAGAAAUAUUUUUUAGGCUUUAAUGAGCUAUUUUGGUAUUGUAGAGAUAACGAAUUUAGAUGGUUUCAGAGAGCACCGGCUUCCCAUUAAAUGAUA